rnacentral:tRNA from 1 species
UGCGGGGUAGUGUAACGGUAGCACGUCGCUCUCUGAAAGCGAUAAUCUUGGUCCGAAUCCAAGCCCCGCAG